AUGUUAUCAUCCCCUCCCUCCCAGAGAGGCCCUCUCUCCCACACGCUCUGCAUCCGCUACAGUUGUCGCAGCUUCCACCUCCAGAAGAGCACCUGCUCCUCGUGCGGUUACCCGGCCGCCCGCAUCCGCAAGUGUAAGCUCCGUUCCAUGUUCUUGAUGUGCAAUGGUGAAGAAAUAAAGAGCAUCGUCUGUACUAUUCAUCUUCAGAACUUAUCAUGUUGCUGUACUGGCAAGAGUUUAGUUAGGAUCUAUGUGUGUUCAGUUUACUUCAUAUAUCUUUGUGAAAAUGUGUUGUUGUAUUGA
rnacentral:rRNA from 1 species